UGGCUUCUUGUCUUCUUUAUUCUGCUUUCGUUCAUUCUUUGCUCCUCUUGACAUCAAUAGAAUUUAUUCUUUAAAUACGCUAGUGUGCUUUCAUCACAUCAGUACUUUUAUUAUAUUAGAAUAUAAAGAUUAGAGCGUAGGCUUUAAUAUAUGUUAUCUUUCAUAACUUAUGUUAGAUGCAUUUAUAAUGGCGAAAAUUAGUUGAAGAAGCAUGUACUUCUAUAAAAUGAAACUGUUCUCUCUUUUUUUCUUUUGUACUUUGUGAUUCAUUAGUUAGUUGUAUGUAUUGCUAAACAUUUAAAUGUUGUGAUGUAAUUCCUUGAAUGAAAAUUUCUGUCGUCUUCUCCUUUAGAGUGACCAUUUAUUACUAAUUUUGGUCUUUUUUCAAUGAUCAUUAAAUGUUAAAUACCUUUCUUAUACUGUAUAGUGAUUUUAUUACGUAGACCUGUAGAUGGGUCUUGGAACAUAGUAAAGAUUUCUAAUUAAUUAAUCAUAAAUAUAAAUUUUAGUAUAUUCAUCAUUGGAGAUGUUAAAAAAUGGUCACUAUAUAGAACUGUGUAUUAUAUAUUGUCCUCCAUUUUUGUGUCGUUUUUUGUAUUGAAUAUUUUUAGGAAUUAAUUAAUAACUAAGAUUUUUAUCGAAUUACUUUUAAGUAUUUUUUAAGAUUCAUUCUAAUAAUUACGCUAACAUUACAGUCGCACUAUUUAAGAAAGGAGUGAGAGCAGUCCAAGUUGUAGGAAGAGCAAACGAAAACCUAAACAACUCCACAUUUCCCACUUUUACGCCUCCCGAAAUCCCCAAAAGAGUAAAAUUACGAGCCGACGUGACUAAAGAGCACGGAGAUGGAUUCAGCAAUUUGCAGUCUCAAACUAGUAUGAUAAGACACGGAGGAGCAAGCGGACGUCCAAGAAAUACAUCUAGUAGUAAAACUCGUCCACAUGGUAAUCCAACAACUCCUCUAACAUCUCCGAAUAAUCGUGGAGCGGGUGGAGGCGGUCAUUCCGCUCCCGGUACAUUUUCCAGGUAGGAUUUUUACAUAAAUAUGCAUGAUUGAUGUUCAUCUGUACAGUACGUCUUAUUUCGUCUUGUAUGUCU